rnacentral:misc_RNA from 1 species
UCUCCGUUGGUGAACCAGCGGAGGGAUCAUUGCCGAGUUUACAACUCCCAAACCCAAUGUGAACGUUACCAAACUGUUGCCUCGGCGGGGUCACGCCCCGGGUGCGUCGCAGCCCCGGAACCAGGCGCCAGCCGGAGGAACCAACCAAACUCUUCCUGUAGUCCCCUCGCGGACGUUAUUUCUUACAGCUCUGAGCAAAAAUUCAAAAUGAAUCAAAACUUUCAACAACGGAUCUCUUGGUUCUG